UCUUGGUCAUUUAGAGGAAGUAAAAGUCGUAACAAGGUUUCCGUAGGUGAACCUGCGGAAGGAUCAUUAUUGAAAUAAACCUGAUAAGUUGUUGCUGGUUCUCUAGGGAGCAUGUGCACACUUGUCAUCUUUGUAUCUCCACCUGUGCACCUUUUGUAGACCUUGGGUAUCUAUCUGAUUGCUUUAGCAACUCAGGAUUGAGGAUUGACUUUCUGUCUCUUCUUACAUUUCCAGGCCUAUGUUUUUCAAAUACCCUAAUGUAUGUUUAUAGAAUGUAAUCAAAUAGGCCUUUGUGCCUAUAAAUUGAUACAACUUUCAGCAACGGAUCUCUUGGCUCUCGCAUCGAUGAAGAACGCAGCGAAAUGCGAUAAGUAAUGUGAAUUGYAGAAUUCAGUGAAUCAUCGAAUCUUUGAACGCACCUUGCGCUCCUUGGUAUUCCGAGGAGCAUGCCUGUUUGAGUGUCAUUAAUAUAUCAACCUUUUKUUUUUUGGUUGGAUGUGGGUUUGCUGGCCACUUUAGAGGUCAGCUCUCCUUAAAUGCAUUAGCGGACAAUAUUUUGCCAAACGUUUCAUUGGUGUGAUAAUUAUCUACACUAUUGAUGUGAAGCAAGGUUCAGCUUCUAACAGUCCAUUGACUUGGACAAUUUUUUAUUUAUUAAUGUGACCUCAAAUCAGGUAGGACUACCCGCUGAACUUAAGCAUAUCAAU
rnacentral:rRNA from 1 species